GAACUUUGAGGUGGAAGAUGUCGGAAAGUAACUUCGGCGACGCAAGCGAGGAACAGGUGUCUGGCGCUGCAGUCCUCGCCCGGGCCCUGAAAGCGCAAGAUGUGCAGUACAUGUUUGGCAUCGUGGGCAUCCCAGUGACCGAAAUCGCCAUCGCCGCCCAGCAGCUGGGCAUCAGAUACGUGGGGAUGAGGAAUGAGCAGGCGGCUUGUUACGCUGCCUCUGCGGUUGGAUAUCUGACAGGCAGGCCGGGAGUAUGCCUUGUUGUUUCUGGCCCAGGUCUCGUGCACGCCUUGGGUGGUAUGGCAAAUGCAAACAUGAACUGCUGGCCCUUGAUUGUGAUUGGUGGUUCCUCUGAAAGAUGUCAGGAAACAAUGGGAGCCUUCCAGGAGUUUCCUCAGGUUGAAGCUUGUAGAUUAUAUAGCAAGUUCUCUGUCCGGCCGAGCAGCAUAGAAGCUAUUCCAUCUAUUGUCGAAAAGGCUGUAAGAAGCAGUAUAUAUGGUCGUCCAGGUGCUUGCUAUAUUGACAUACCUGCAGAUUUUGUGAACCUCCAAGUGAAUGUGAAUUCUAUAAAGUACGUGGAGUGCUGCAUGCCACCUCCUAUUAGUAUGGCUGAAACGUCUGCUGUACAAAUGGCAGCAUCUGUUAUUAGGAAUGCCAAACAGCCCCUUCUUAUCAUCGGGAAAGGUGCUGCUUAUGCCCAUGCAGAGGAGGGAAUCAGGAAAUUGGUGGAGCAAUGUAAAUUGCCAUUUUUACCCACCCCCAUGGGAAAGGGUGUUAUCCCUGACAAUCAUCCAAACUGUGUAGCUGCUGCCAGAUCCAGGGCUUUGCAAUUUGCUGAUGUAAUCGUGUUAUUUGGUGCCAGAUUAAAUUGGAUAUUGCAUUUUGGACUGCCUCCAAGAUAUCAGCCAGAUGUGAAGUUUAUCCAGAUUGAUAUCUGUGCAGAAGAACUGGGGAAUAAUGUAAGACCUGCUGUGACUUUGCUAGGAGAUAUAAAUGCAGUCACUAAACAGCUUUUAGAACAAUUUGACAAAACACCGUGGCAGUAUCCUCCAGAGAGCAAAUGGUGGAACACUCUGAGAGAAAAAAUGAAGAGCAAUGAAGCUGCAUCCAAGGAAUUAGCUUCCAAAAAAUCCUUGCCUAUGAAUUAUUACACAGUAUUCUACCAUGUUCAAGAACAACUACCUAGAGACUGUAUGGUGGUAAGUGAAGGAGCAAAUACUAUGGAUAUUGGACGCACUGUGCUUCAAAACUACCUUCCUCGUCACAGGCUAGAUGCUGGUACUUUUGGAACAAUGGGAGUCGGUUUGGGAUUUGCCAUUGCAGCUGCUAUAGUGGCUAAAGAUAGAAACCCAGGACAGCGGGUCAUCUGUGUGGAAGGAGACAGUGCAUUUGGGUUUUCUGGCAUGGAAGUGGAAACCAUCUGCAGGUACAACUUGCCAAUUGUACUUUUGGUGGUGAAUAAUAAUGGAAUUUACCAAGGUGUUGAUACAGAUUCUUGGAAGGAAAUGUUAAAAUUUGGAGAUGCUACUGCUCUGGCCCCUCCAAUGUGUCUUCUGCCAAAUGCACAUUAUGAGCAGGUCAUGACUGCAUUUGGAGGCAAUGGGUAUUUUGUACAAACACGAGAAGAACUCCAAGAAUCCCUGAGGAAAAGCUUGGCAGACACAACUAAACCCUCUCUUAUCAACAUCAUGAUUGAGCCGCAAUCCAUGCGGAAAGCCCAGAUACUGCAUUUUAAGACCUUCUACCAGCAAAAAGAUUACGACUCGCUGAAAGCUCAGAUGAUGGAGGAGCAAAAGAUGACAAGUAAAUUUCCCUACAAGGAGUUACUGGGGCUACAGGGUUUAAAUGUCUUCCUCAAGGAUAUAACAAGAUGGAAAGAGUCCCUACCAUUUUUAAGAAGCUGCCUGAGGAACUGCUUCACCUGAAUGAAGUCUCUCCUUUUCCGCACCUCUUUGGAAAUUUUGGUUCACACUCUGUAGUCUUCACCUUCAAAAUCUCAGUCCAAGCUCCCUUAGGUGGCUCAAGGCCAGCCCAGUGCCAAUCUCUUCCCUGAGAGAGUGAGGACAACUAAGCUUCGUGCCCUGGAGAUGGAAGUGCAGGCUUAAUGCUUGGUUUUCUCUAAACAGCCC